UAUGCACGCUGGCGGCGUGCCUAAUACAUGCAAGUCGAGCGAACGGACGAGAAGCUUGCUUCUCUGAUGUUAGCGGCGGACGGGUGAGUAACACGUGGAUAACCUACCUAUAAGACUGGGAUAACUUCGGGAAACCGGGGCUAAUACCGGAUAAUAUUUUGAACCGCAUGGUUCAAAAGUGAAAGACGGUCUUGCUGUCACUUAUAGAUGGAUCCGCGCUGCAUUAGCUAGUUGGUAAGGUAACGGCUUACCAAGGCAACGAUGCAUAGCCGACCUGAGAGGGUGAUCGGCCACACUGGAACUGAGACACGGUCCAGACUCCUACGGGAGGCAGCAGUAGGGAAUCUUCCGCAAUGGGCGAAAGCCUGACGGAGCAACGCCGCGUGAGUGAUGAAGGUCUUCGGAUCGUAAAACUCUGUUAUUAUGGAAGAACAUAUGUGUAAGUAACUGUGCACAUCUUGACGGUACCUAAUCAGAAAGCCACGGCUAACUACGUG
rnacentral:rRNA from 1 species